rnacentral:rRNA from 1 species
UACGUAGGGUGCGAGCGUUGUCCGGAAUUAUUGGGCGUAAAGGGCUCGUAGGCGGUCUGUCGCGUCGGGAGUGAAAACGCCGUGCUUAACACGGCGCUUGCUUUCGAUACGGGCAGACUAGAGGUAUGCAGGGGAGAGCGGAAUUCCUGGUGUAGCGGUGAAAUGCGCAGAUAUCAGGAGGAACACCGGUGGCGAAGGCGGUUCUCUGGGCAUUACCUGACGCUGAGGAGCGAAAGUGUGGGGAGCGAACAGG